rnacentral:rRNA from 1 species
ACUGAACGCUGGCGGCAGGCCUAACACAUGCAAGUCGAGCGUGCGGCGGACGGGUGCGUAACGUACGGGGACUGCCCGAUACAGGGGGAUAACUACUGGAAACGGUGUCUAAUACCGCACACUGUCGGAUCAACCAUACGGGAUUAGCUAGCAGGUAAGGUAAUGGCGUACUUAGGCGACGAACCCUUGCCGGUCUGCGAGGUUGAUCAGCAACACUGGGAAUGAGACACGGCCCAGACUCCUACGGAGGCAGUAGUGGGGAAUAUUGCACAAUGGGCGUAAGCCUGAUGCAGCAAUGCGGCGUGUAUGAAGAAGGCCUUAGGGUUGUAAAGUACUUUCAGUCGGGAAGCGUUACCGACAGAGGAAGCACCGGCGAACUCCGUGCCAGCAGCCGCGGUAAUUC